AACGAACGCUGGCGGCGUGGAUUAGGCAUGCAAGUCGAACGCGAAAGAGGGAGCAAUCCCUUGAGUAGAGUGGCGAACGGGUGAGUAACGCGUGAAGAACCUGCCUGCGACUGGGGGAUAACACUCCUAACGGGGUGCUAAUACCGCAUGAGACCACGGGGUCGCAUGACCCUGAGGUCAAAGAUGGCCUCUAUUUAUAAGCUAUCGGUCGGAGAUGGCUUCGCGUCCCAUUAGCUUGUUGGCGGUGUAAAAGACCACCAAGGCGACGAU
rnacentral:rRNA from 1 species